rnacentral:misc_RNA from 1 species
CGNAGGCCUAAGACAAGCAAGUCGAGCGCCCCGCAAGGGGAGCGGCAGACGGGUGAUUACCGCGUGGGUAUCUACCUAGUGGUGCGGAAUAGCCCAGGGAAACUUGGAGUAAUACCGCAUAAGCCCGAAAGGGGAAAGAUUUAUCGCCAUUAGAUGAGCCCGCGUUGGAUUAGCUAGUUGGUGGGGUAACGGCCCACCAAGGCGACGAUCCAUAGCUGGUCUGAGAGGAUGAUCAGCCACACUGGGACUGAGACACGGCCCAGACUCCUACGGGAGGCAGCAGUGGG